UCAGGAUGAACGCUGGCGGCGUGCCUAACACAUGCAAGUCGAGCGAUUCUCUUCGGAGAAGAGCGGCGGACGGGUGAGUAACGCGUGGGUAACCUGCCUCAUACACAUGGAUAACAUACCGAAAGGUAUGCUAAUACGGGAUAAUAUAAGAGAUUCACAUGGAUUUCUUAUCAAAGCUCCGGCGGUAUGAGAUGGACCCGCGUCUGAUUAGCUAGUUGGUAAGGUAACGGCUUACCAAGGCGACGAUCAGUAGUCGACCUGAGAGGGUGAUCGGCCACAUUGGAACUGAGACACGGUCCAAACUCCUACGGGAGGCAGCAGUGGGGAAUAUUGCACAAUGGGCGAAAGCCUGAUGCCAGCAACGCCGCGUGAGUGAUGAAGGCCUUCGGGUCGUAAAACUCUGUCCUCAAGGAAGAUAAUGACGGUACUUGAGGAGGAAGCCCCGGCUAACUACGUGCCAGCAGCGGC
rnacentral:rRNA from 1 species